rnacentral:tRNA from 1 species
GCGGGAGUAACUCAGCGGUAGAGUCACGGCUUCCCAAGCCGUUGGUCGCGGGUUCGAUCCCCGUCUCCCGCUCCA